rnacentral:rRNA from 1 species
AACCUUGGACAAUGGGCGCAAGCCUGAUCCAGCCAUGCAGCGCGAGUGAAGAAGGCCUCCGGGUUGUAAAGCUCUUUCUGACGGAAAGAAACCGCGUCGGCUAAUAACCUGCGCGGCUGAUGUUACCGUCAUAAGAAGCACCUCUUAACUAGUUGCCAGCAGCCGCGGUAAUACGUAGGGUGAGAGCGUUAAUCGGAAUUACUGGGCGUAAACCGUGCGCAGGCGGUUGAUUAAGACAGGCGUGAAAUCCCCGGGCUUAACCUGGGAACUGCGCUUGUGACUGGGCAGCUAGAGUACGGCAGAGGGGGGUGGAAUUCCACGUGUAGCAGUGAAAUGCGUAGAGAUGUGGAGGAACACCGAUGGCGAAGGCAGCCCCCUGGGCCGAUACUGACGCUAAUGCACGAAAGCGUGGGUAGCAAACAGG